rnacentral:rRNA from 1 species
GCCCUACGGGACGCAGCAGUGAGGAAUAUUGGUCAAUGGGCGAGAGCCUGAACCAGCCAAGUCGCGUGAGGGAAGACGGUCCUAUGGAUUGUAAACCUCUUUUGUCGGGGAGCAAAAAGGCCUCGUGAGGCCACAAGUGAGAGUACCCGAAGAAAAAGCAUCGGCUAACUCCGUGCCAGCAGCCGCGGUAAUACGGAGGAUGCGAGCGUUAUUCGGAUUUAUUGGGUUUAAAGGGUGCGUAGGCGGACUGGAAAGUCAGCGGUAAAAUCGAGAGGCUCAACCUCUUCGAGCCGUUGAAACUGGUU